CUGCAGCUGACAAGCAAAGGACAGGUGAUAGGUGUGGUGUCUGUCACAGGAAGAAAUACAGCUGAAGGCACAUCAAGAAAAUAUUCAUGAAUGAGAGCGAUUUUUAGUUGAGUCAAGAUGGAGGAACAGGACUUCGCCAUAGAGAAUAGCAUAAUGGGAGACCUGAAGCACGAGUAGGCAUUGGACAAAUGAGGAGGAGGAAAGGAUAUAUCAGACAGAAGGAAGGACCUGUGGAAAGACGU